rnacentral:rRNA from 1 species
AUUGAACGCUGGCGGCAGGCCUACAACUUCCAAGUCAACGGUAACAGGAAGAAGCUUGCUUCUUUGCCGACGGGUGGCCGGCGGGGUAGUAAUUGCUUGGAAACCGCCUGAUGGAGGGGGAUAACCACCGGAAACGGUAGCCUAUACCGCAUUACCUCCCCAGACCCAAGAGGGGGACCUUCGGGGCCUCUGUCAUUGGAUGUGGCCAGAUGGGAUUAGCUAGUAGGUGGGGUAACGGCUCACCUAGGCGACGAUCCCUAGCUGGUCUGAGAGGAUGACCAGCCACACUGGAACUGAGACACGGUCCAGACUCCUACGGGAGGCAGCAGUGGGGAAUAUUGCACAAUGGGCGCAAGCCUGAUGCAGCCAUGCCGCGUGUAUGAAGAAGGCCUUCGGGUUGUAAAGUACUUUCAGCGGGGAGGAAGGGAGUAAAGUUAAUACCUUUGCUCAUUGACGUUACCCGCAGAAGAAGCACCGGCUAACUCCGUG